UACAGAGGGGGCAAGCGUUAUUCGGAAUUAUUGGGCGUAAAGGGCGCGUAGGCGGCAUCGCAAGUGGAAGGUGAAAUCCCUCGGCUUAACCGAGGAACUGCCCUCCAAACUGCUUGGCUUGAGUCCGGGAGAGGUGAGUGGAAUUCCCAGUGUAGCGGUGAAAUGCGUAGAGAUCGGGAGGAACACCAGUGGCGAAGGCGGCUACCUGGACCAGCACUGACACUGAAGCACGAAAGCGUGGGGAGCAAACAGG
rnacentral:rRNA from 1 species